rnacentral:rRNA from 1 species
GCCAGCCGCUCAGAACUAAAGGAAUUGACGGGGAGCACCACAACGGGUGGAGCCUGCGGUUUAAUUGGACUCAACGCCGGGAAGCUUACCGGAUAAGACAGCGGAAUGAUUGCCGGGCUGAAGACUCUGCAUGACCAGCUGAGAGGAGGUGCAUGGCCGUCGUCAGUUCGUACUGUGAAGCAUCCUGUUAAGUCAGGCAACGAGCGAGACCCACGCCAACAGUUGCCAGCAUGGUCUCCGGACUGAUGGGGACACUGUUGGGACCGCCUCUGCUAAAGAGGAGGAAGGAAUGGGCAACGGUAGGUCAGCAUGCCCCGAAUUAUCCGGGCUACACGCGGGCUACAAUGGGCAGGACAAUGGGUAUCGACACCGAAAGGUGAAGGCAAUCUCCUAAACCUGUCCUUAGUUCGGAUUGUGGGCUGCAACUCGCCCACAUGAAGCUGGAAUCCGUAGUAAUCGCGUUUCAAAAUAACGCGGUGAAUGUGUCCCUGCUCCUU